UUUGGUGAAGAACUCACUCUUCUCCUUGGGGAUCUUUUGGGUCCAAUUAAAAAAAAGAUUGGGCCCAAUGACAUAAGGAAAAAGGUUCCUGUGAAUGCCAAACUGAUUUAGGCCAGGUUGGCAUUAGCUAAAACUGUGAUCAUUCUCAGACUUGGUCACAGCACUGCUCAGUUUGCUUUAUAGGGAAAUAAAAGUACCUGUUCAUCCCACAUUCAAACUCCAAGAUGCUUAGGGGGUCUGACCACCUUCAACAAACUGGUUUUGAGAUGAGGAAGUGGGCUACCAAGCAUAAUAAUCCCACACACCCAUUGUCAGAGAACUGGGGUGAUUUUGACCAUAGCCAUGAGAGGGGCCAGGCUUCCCCCUUUGUUUACAGCUAUAUACAGGACUCCAUCAUCUUUGUUCAUAUAUGUGGGGGCACCCCAAGGAAACUCCCAGACGAAAACUUGGCAGCCAAUUUGCUGUUUCAAUCAUUUCUACUCCUCCCGGAAGCGAAGACUGAAACAGGGAGGAGGGGAGCCCCAGGCAGUCCUGCCCAGCCCUGGCUGUGUGUGGGAAGAACCUUGGUACCCGGACUAAAUAAGAUUUUCGAGGGUCUGGGGAGGUGGGAGGUGGGGAGGAACCGCCACAAUCCUCACGAAAAGCCCUUCAAUAUGGAACAGACUUGCAUCUUGGGCCAGGACUCUUAAGAGAUCCCAGCGCCGUUUCCGACCUGGUGGGCUUGUGGGGGACCCCAUUCCUCCGCUCUGCCCCUGCUGCGCAAAAUUCCGCUCCAGUGGUUGUCUCAUCGUCCAGAACCCUGAAAGAACGCGGACCGCUCCUCCCCAGAGGCAGCUGCAGGACGGCGGCCCCAGAAGGCUAGAGGCCAGGACCGGGGACAGGAGCACUGGCUGAAUGGGAACUGUGAAGCAAUUUAUAGUUUUAAACACUUGCCUUGGAGGUACUGUGGAGACAAGUAACUUUCAAAGGGGAUAAAAGCCAAUGUCAAUCAGAGCUCUGGUCUUAUCGUCAAGAAUGGUUGAAAGUCUUCUAUCUCAUGAAUGAAGAGGAGUAAUUUAUAAUAAAACUGAAAAGAAGGUUGGAGCUCAAGUCAUGCGAGGUGGCGCUGUCGCUCCUGUACCCACUGGAGCUGUUGGUAGUACCAGUCCCUUCCCCUGUCCAUCAUUUCCAGCCCUUGCAGGAGU